AGAGUUUGAUCCUGGCUCAGGACGAACGCUGGCGGCGUGCCUAAUACAUGCAAGUCGAGCGGACAGAAGGGAGCUUGCUCCUGGAUGUUAGCGGCGGACGGGUGAGUAACACGUGGGUAACCUGCCUGUAAGACUGGGAUAACUCCGGGAAACCGGAGCUAAUACCGGAUAGUUCCUUGAACCGCAUGGUUCAAGGAUGAAAGACGGUUUCGGCUGUCACUUACAGAUGGACCCGCGGCGCAUUAGCUAGUUGGUGAGGUAACGGCUCACCAAGGCGACGAUGCGUAGCCGACCUGAGAGGGUGAUCGGCCACACUGGGACUGAGACACGGCCCAGACUCCUACGGGAGGCAGCAGUAGGGAAUCUUCCGCAAUGGACGAAAGUCUGACGGAGCAACGCCGCGUGAGUGAUGAAGGUUUUCGGAUCGUAAAGCUCUGUUGUUAGGGAAGAACAAGUGCAAGAGUAACUGCUUGCACCUUGACGGUACCUAACCAGAAAGCCACGGCUAACUACGUGCCAGCAGCCGCGGUAAUACGUAGGUGGCAAGCGUUGUCCGGAAUUAUUGGGCGUAAAGGGCUCGCAGGCGGUUUCUUAAGUCUGAUGUGAAAGCCCCCGGCUCAACCGGGGAGGGUCAUUGGAAACUGGGAAACUUGAGUGCAGAAGAGGAGAGUGGAAUUCCACGUGUAGCGGUGAAAUGCGUAGAGAUGUGGAGGAACACCAGUGGCGAAGGCGACUCUCUGGUCUGUAACUGACGCUGA
rnacentral:rRNA from 1 species